GGGAAAGUGCCUCAUCCUCGAA
rnacentral:siRNA from 1 species